AAGAUUCUUACGAUAAAAACCUUUUUUGGGAUUUUAGUUGGACUGUUAACUGGACUUUGAAAGUUGUUCAGUUAAACCCAUACCAAAAACUUUCCUAGCUUAAGUAUUGAACAUCACGAUAUGAGUUGAAAUUCGUGUUUAAAAGUUUUAAUAAGCGGACCUCGGCAAACCUUGAAUACUUUUUUGUAGCACCUACAUUAAUACGCAACACGGGACAUCCUAAUGUACAUAUAUGAAGGAGAUAUAAAUACCGCACUUCUUGCCAGAGACCUGCGACGGUUCGGCUUAAUGAUGACUAGAACUAGCCGCCGUGAAAAUUUCAAAGCUGCCGCCGUUAAAUUUUCUGCCUUAGACGCAAGGCGAAUUUACAUAAGGUGGUGGUAGUUCGACAGCGAAACAUUUUUCAUGUAGUUGGUACCCAAUUAAAAAAAUAAUUGGGAAUUCAUUUAAUUUAAUUAUUCCUGUAUGGAAUAAUUAAUUAAUUAUUCCUGUUUGUUAUAAAUGAAAAAUUUUACCGUCGUCUGGAUUUUGUUAUCAUAAAAUGUAACGGAACAGAAUUUUAGUAGAAAAUCAUGUUUAGAGUUUAUAUUAUAUACAUUUAAUAGAUUUAAAUUUUUUUCUAUAAUAUGGAAAACAACUGCUGGGUUACUUAAUAUAAGGUGUUCCGUAACAGAAUUUUAUUAGUUAGUCACAUUAUGUUUAAAUUGUUAACAUUUAAUAAAAAGAAAAUAUAUUUUUCUAAUACAUAAUUUACUUAUACGUACAAUUAUGUCACUAGUUGUA